rnacentral:rRNA from 1 species
GAUGAACGCUGGCGGCGUGCCUAAUACAUGCAAGUCGAGCGAACAGACGAGGUGCUUGCUCCUCUGACGUUAGCGGCGGACGGGUAAGUAACACGUGGAUAACCUACCUAUAAGACUGGGAUAACUUCGGGAAACCGGAGCUAAUACCGGACAAUAUAUUGAACCGCAUGGUUCAAUAGUGCAAGACGGUUUUGCUGUCCCUUAUAGAUGGAUCCGCGCCGCAUUAGCUAGUUGGUAAGGUAAAGGCUUACCAAGGCAACGAUGCGUAGCCGACCUGAGAGGGCGGUCAGCCCCACUGGGACUGGGACACGGGCCAGACUCCCACGGGAGGCCGCAGUGGGGAAUUUUGCCCAAUGGGGGCAAACCUGAACGAGCCAACCCGCGGGCGGGAAGAAGGGCUUCGGGUUGGAAAACCCUUUUGUUCGGGAAAAAACAAUGUGGGAUAAAACCACGGGGGUCUGACGGUACCCUAAGAAGAAGCCCCGGCUAACUACGGG